CACCGCGGUUAUACGAGAGGCCCAAGUUGAUACCAUUCGGCGUAAAGAGUGGUUAGGAUAAACAAAUACUAAAGCCGCACACCUUCAAAGCUGUUAUACGCACCCGAAGGCCAGAAGCUCAACCACGAAGGUAGCUUUAUAACCCUGACCCCACGAAAGCUUUGGCA
rnacentral:rRNA from 1 species